UUAAUUACAUUAUUAUCUUAAUAUCUCUUAUUAGCUUAAUUAAAGUCUAUUAGCAUUAUUUUACCAUUGUAAAGGACAAUUAACAUUCUCCUAGCAGAAAGUAAACCAUGAAAAGUAAGACUUCAUGGCGGACAUUUGCCGGCAUGAAGAAUGAAGUGAUGACAUAAAAGCAAUUACUAGGAAGUCAAAUGAUAAUAUUCAUGCAGCUUUCUGUCGACUUGCAGUGAGAAUGGGACGAUUGGAGCUGAGAACCUCAACCGCAAUCUGCCCAAACAUGUGAAAUAGAAAUCUGUCCUUGUUUAGUGUACUUGGUACUAAUAAUGGAUCUGUGACAGCAUUAUUCGAAUGCUAGAUGGCAGUGAUUUUGUUGCCAAUUAGUGUCUUUAAUUGCUUUAUCUAUCUCUGAUUUUGUUGCCAAGUAGCAAGUAUCACAGAGUACAGAAGAAAGAGGGAAGAGAGGAAGAAAAAAAAGCAAGCAAGCAAUCAAUCACAUCAUUUCUUUCUUUUCCACUGUUAUUAUCACUGCCAUCUAGCUUUCACAUAAUGGUGUCUCAGAUCCAUUAUUAGUACAAGUUUAUUACACACGGGUGGAUUUCUAUUCACAUGUUUAGGCAGCUCGCGGUUGGGCUUCUCAACUGAGAUCGUCCCAUUCUCACCAACCUCAAGCAUUUGUGCUUCCUCUUCCACGAUGACCCAUGGCGAAUGCAGAUAGGGGUGUCAUCGGAACUGUGUUCCCAACCUUCCUAGAGACGAGACGUUCCAAUCCUUCAGACAAACCGAACAGCAAUGGGAGCAGGAGGCGAUUCAAUGCCAGAGGAGGAUCCACCAUUUUUCGUGAGGGAGGCAGGCAGCAUUGUGUUGGCCGCUGGAGUCGCUUCUUGGAGCUACAACAAUGGCGAAAUACCUGUUGUUGCGAUUACUGUCUUUGACAAGAGUAGCAAUGCCAAUCAACCAGAUUACUAGCACAAAGGGGAUGCCUCAGUAUAAGAAGAGUAGUGAGUCCUUGAAACAAAGACAAGAAAGUGGAUUGCUUGGAUUUAAGGUAGCAUGUCUGUUGCUUGUUUCAGUUGUCGAGUCCAUCACUGGUUGUCAUGUCCCGCACCAUUAUGAGAAAUCCAGAAAGAGGCAGCCAUGCACUAACCAGGUUGAUGGUGCAACCGCAAGACAUCAUCACAAGUGCGCACGACGGGAGACUGAGUGCUCUCCAUGAGUCCCAUCUGGCGAGAGAUCGAGAAGCCAUCGUGGGCGCUAUCAUCCAUCAACAUGGUAGGGUUUACUACCGUGCCACUGUUGAAGAUGGAUUCCAGUUUGAGGAUCUGCUCGGGUGCGCGUGACGGUGCCGUCGGGCGCAGAUCUCUGCAGGCUGGAGCUGUUUCUGCGGCCUCGGUUACUGUCUUCCAUGGCCGAAGUGGCUUGUAGCUGGAGCGAAGAAGAGGAAACCGAAGUCACCGGAAGCAGUGAUGCGAAGGAAAAGAGAUGCGUCAAGUGUUCACAUACACAAGAUCUUACGGAUGAUGGUAUACGAUGAUAACGUGCCGAGCAUAAGUGGAGGAAGUCCUCAAGGAAGAAAUAGUCAAAGAGGAAGGCUGAUGCAAAGAAGAAGCACACAAUAUAAUAACAUGUCGGUGCGAGAGAGAGAGAGAGAGAGAGGGA